AGCGAACGCUGGCGGCAUGCUUAACACAUGCAAGUCGCGCGGGUGGUUUCGGCCAUCAGCGGCGGACGGGUGAGUAUCGCGUAGGAAUGUAUCCCGAGGUGGGGGACAACCCUGGGAAACUGGGGCUAAUACCGCAUGGGGCCUGUGGGUCAAAGCCUUAGGGCGCCUUGGGAGCAGCCUGCGUCCGAUUAGGUAGUUGGUGGGGUAAAGGCCUACCAAGCCUGCGAUCGGUAGCUGGUCUGAGAGGACGAUCAGCCACACUGGGACUGAGACACGGCCCAGACUCCUAUGGGAGGCAGCAGUGGGGAAUAUUGGACAAUGGGCGCAAGCCUGAUCCAGCAAUGCCGCGUGGGUGAAGAAGGUCUUCGGAUUGUAAAGCCCUUUCGGCGGGGACGAUGAUGACGGUACCCGCAGAAGAAGCCCCGGCUAACUUCGUG
rnacentral:rRNA from 1 species